CCCCCCCCCCCCCAGUGUCCCCUGCUGCAGAAGCUCCCACUGAGGCAACACAGGCAGCACUGGCUCCAGGGAAGGGCUUCUGUUUGCAGAACACAACUGCUCUGAUUACA
ensembl:miRNA